UGAUAAAAGGCAUUGUCAUUUUGGUAAUUUAAAAACUCAUUUAAUUUUUUUUUGUACUUUAAAAUUUUUUCUUAACUUUUUGUGUUGGUCUAAUUUCAAACUUACAGAAAUUUGCAAAAAUAGUACAGGUAACUCCCGUAAGUCCUUUAUCCACAUUCGCCAAUCAUUAACAUUUGACCUAUUUGCAUUAUCAUUCUUGUGUGUGUGUGUGUGUGUGUAGAAAAAGAGAAGACAUUCGUCUUUACUCCUUUUCUGAGUAGAUUUCCUAAGAAUGUGUCCUGCUUGUCCAUGGCCACAAUACACAAUCAAGGGAUGUAAUGUUGAUAUAACACUAUUCUCCACAGUCUGUUUUUGUUUUCUUUAAAACCUCACUUGAAAAAGCAGAUGUGGGACCAAGAUGAUAAAUGUACAUCACAGCCUAAUUAGGCCACUUGUUCACCUGGUGACCUCGCUGGAGACAUUCUUCAAAGCUCAGCUCUAUCUAGACUCCCCUACAAGCCGGUGCCGGCUGCUCUCCCAACCACGCAGAAAUCCUCUCUCUGCCCGGCAGCCCUCUGUGCAGACCGCGCUGAUAGUCCUUCAUAUCGUAUAGCAGCAAUUCACAGUGUGUCUCCACACUGCACUGUGAACUUCUCAGGGUUCCGGGGCCCACGUGGAUAAAUGACAGGUAUUUGGUGUUUAGGAAAUGUUUGCUAAAAAAGUGAGUAAAUAGACAAAUGGAAGCCUCUGGUGAGUUGAACUUCGUGAAGAGUUAGGUGGUUGUUCUUUUAAUCUAUUAGAUGAAGGUUCAGCGCUACGCAGUACAGUGGGUGAAAUUAUACAAUCAUUUUUAAGAACAUCUUAGGGCAAGCAAAAAAAUGAUACAUGGGAUCUUGGCUCCUGCCUUACUGCCACUCCCUCAAACCUUUUUCUCCUCCCUCUGUCCCAAAAUAUAGUAACUGCUGAAAGAAUACAGUUAUGUGCAGGGGACGUGUAUAGACUAGACUCUCAGCAGAGCAGAGCCUGUGAGCCUAAGAACGCAGCCCGCGAGUUCAGCUCCUGGCAGCGCCGGCCCUCGCCUGUUCCUGCCACGUUAGCACGCAGUAACUUUCCGUGCCGGCCCCUCCCGGCGGCGGCGAGGCUGGGGCGGGGCUCCGCGCUGUCCCCCUCAGCGCCGCAGCCACCGCCGGCCAGCGCCAGGGUGCCUGGCAACCGCUGCUUCUCAGGCCGACCGAGAAGCCGCACGUCCCAGCCCUGGGGCGCGAUCCAGCUGAAGCGAAUUGGUGGCGGAGCCUGGUACCUUCCAGGGCCCUUGAACCGCAGCGCGGCACUUGGGGAGCUUGCUGUGCUCCCAAGAGCUUCCCGUCUUGGAAGGCACUGCCACCAACCAG